UAAAAGAUACAUAUUGCCCCAAUUGUUGUCUGAGUAAAGCAUGAAGGAAUGCAAAAUUAAGCUGAAAUGCCAUCCUCUUGUGGAACUUUUAUCUCAUUUGAUUUAAAAGGGGCAACACUCCAUGGUGAAUUGAUAUCUUCAAGUCCGCCGGUACUCAAGUUGAAGUCCCCAAGUUGAAAUCUUCAAGUCCGUCGGUCUUCAAGUUGAAGUCUUCAAAUUCGCCGAUCUUCAAGUUGAAAUAUUUAAGUCUCAAAGUUGAAGUCUUCAAGUCCGUCAGUCUUCAAGUUGAAUCUUCAAAUUCGCCGAUCUUCAAGUUGAAAUAUUUAGCCCUCCAAGCCUCAAAGUUGAAGUCAUCAAGUCUG
rnacentral:lncRNA from 1 species